rnacentral:rRNA from 1 species
UACGAAGGGGGCUAGCGUUGCUCGGAAUCACUGGGCGUAAAGCGCACGUAGGCGGCUUUCUAAGUCAGGGGUGAAAUCCUGGAGCUCAACUCCAGAACUGCCUUUGAUACUGGCGAGCUUGAGUUCGGGAGAGGUGAGUGGAACUGCGAGUGUAGAGGUGAAAUUCGUAGAUAUUCGCAAGAACACCAGUGGCGAAGGCGGCUCACUGGCCCGAUACUGACGCUGAGGUGCGAAAGCGUGGGGAGCAAACAGG